AUUUAAUAGAAUUAAUUAUUAAUAUAGCCUGCUCAAUGCAAUGUAAAUAGCCGCAGUUCCUACUGUGCUAAGGUAGCAUAAUCAUUUGCCUUUUAAUUAAAGACUAGAAUGAAAGGUAUAACAUUUAAAUUACUAUAUAAAAUCUUUAUAUUUAAAUUUAAUUUAAAUGUAAAAAAGCAUUUAUUCUCAAGAAAGACGAUAAGACCCUAUUGAACUUAACUUUAGUUUAACUGGGGUAGUUAAAUAAUUAAUACUUUAUAUAAAAAUUUCAAUAAAAAUGACCUAACAUAAUUAAUUUAAUGAACAAGUUACCAUAGGGAUAACAGCGUAAUAUUUUUCUAUAGAUCUUAUAAAAAAAAAAGAUUACGACCUCGAUGUUGAAUAAUUAUUCUAAUAAAAGCAAAAUUUUAUAAAGAAAGUCUGUUCGACUUUUAAAUAAUCACA
rnacentral:rRNA from 1 species